GAUGAACGCUGGCGGUAUGCUUUACACAUGCAAGUCAUACGGAAGUUAGUUUCGGCUAACUUCAGUGGCGGACGGGUGAGUAACACGUGAGAAUUCGCCUUUAGGAGGGGGAUAACAGGGGGAAACACCUGCUAAAACCCCAUAUGCCUUCGGGUCAAAAGAGAAAUCUGCCUAAAGAGAAGCUCGCGGCUGAUUAGCUAGUUGGUGGGGUAAAGGCGUACAAAGGCGACGAUCAGUAGCUGGUCUGAGAGGAUGAUCAGCCACACUGGAACUGAGACACGGUCCAGACUCCUACGGGAGGCAGCAGUGAGGAAUUUUCUGCAAUGGGCGAAAGCCUGACAGAGCAAUACCGCGUGAGGGAAGAAGGCUUACUGAGUUGUAAACCUCUGUUACCUAAGGAGGAAGAUCUGACGUUACUUAGGAGACGAAGCAUCGGCUAACUCCGUGCCAGCCGCCGCCGUAACAC
rnacentral:rRNA from 1 species